ACUUGAGCCAUCGCGCUGAGCAUUACGGAAGUCACUUGGGAAGCCGAUGAAAAGCGGGGGAGAGGAGAUGCCGCGCGAAAAGAGUCAUUCGCCACGACGGCAUCGGCUCUCUCCUACGGACUGACUUUCCCGAUAAUCACAGCCGACGGUCGUCGGGGACGUCGGGGCGUGGAAGGCGGAAGCAUGAAUUACGUAGUCCGGAUUACGUCGAGCGAGCUAUCAGCACGAGGACAACGGCGACGAAGACGGUGACGGUGGCAGAGGAGAAGGAGGAUCGAAAGAAAUGCGAGCUGGAACGGGCGUGAAGAAGAAGAAGAAGAAGAGGGAGUCAAGUCGCCGGUGGUCCAUUGUGGCAAUUUAUGCGAUAGAAUUUACAUUGUAGAACGCUUAUUCGGCCCGAAUUUUUUCGUCAAUAAAGAAACACGUCUGGCAUCGCCGAAUCGAGGUCGGCUCGAGUAUUUCCGCCAAAGGAUGAAAUAUAUCCGGAUUUAUCACCGA